rnacentral:rRNA from 1 species
AUUGAACGCUGGCGGCAUGCCUUACAAAUGCAAGUCGAACGGCAGCACGGGCUUCGGUCUGGUGGCGAGUGGCGAACGGGUGAGUAAUGUAUCGGAACGUACCCUUCAGUGGGGGAUAACUAUCCGAAAGGAUAGCUAAUACCGCAUAUUCUCUGAGGAGGAAAGCGGGGGAUCGCAAGACCUCGCGCUGAUGGAGCGGCCGAUAUCAGAUUAGCUAGUUGGUGGGGUAAAGGCCUACCAAGGCGACGAUCUGUAGCGGGUCUGAGAGGAUGAUCCGCCACACUGGGACUGAGACACGGCCCAGACUCCUACGGGAGGCAGCAGUGGGGAAUUUUGGACAAUGGGGGCAACCCUGAUCCAGCCAUGCCGCGUGAGUGAAGAAGGCCUUCGGGUUGUAAAGCUCUUUCGGCCGGGAAGAAAUCGCGUGAGUUAAUACCUUGCGUGGAUGACGGUACCGGAAUAAGAAGCACCGGCUAACUACGUGCCAGCAGCCGCCGUAAAAC